UAGGUUCAUGGCGGAUGCCUAUGGAGCUGGAAGGCGAUGAAGGUCGUGAUAAGCUGCGAAAAGCCGCGGAGAGGAGCACAUAUCCAUUGACCCGCGGAUGACCGAAUGGAGUAAUCCGGCGCGUGUGAGCGCGCCAUCCGGAUAUCUGAAUAAAAUAGGAUACGGAGGCGAGACUGAGUGAAGUGAACCAUCUAAGUAACUCGGGAACAGAAAUCAAGAGAGAUUCCCCUAGUAGCGGCGAGCGAAGGGGGAGGAGCCCAAACCGCGCAGAGCGGGGUUGCAGGGCUGCAUGGGGAUGGCCCGGGAAGUUGAGAUAAAACCCUGACAUAGCAGAAGCUUCUGGGAAGGAGCGUCAGAGAGCGUGAAAGCCGCGUAUGCGAAAUGGAGGGGACUUCCUGAUGCAGUGCCUGAGUACGGCGGGGCACGAGAAACCCUGCCGGAAUCCGGGUCGACCACGAUCCAAGGCUAAAUACUAGACAGCUACCGAUAGCGAACGAGUACCGUGAGGGAAAGGUGAAAAGAACCCCGGCGAGGGGAGUGAAAUAGAACCUGAAACCAUGAACCGGCAAGAUGUCACGGCCCGCGAGGGUGGUGGCGUGCCUUUUGUAGAAUGAACCUGCGAGUUACGGUAUGCAGCGAGGUUAAGGCUUGGAAGAGCCGGAGCCGGAGCGAAAGCGAGUCUGAACAGGGCGGAGCAAGUUGCAUGCCGUAGACCCGAAGCCAAGGUGAUCUUAUCAUGGGCAGGCUGAAGGCAGGGUGAAACCUGUUGGAGGGCCGAACAGUAAUCUGUUAAAAAAGGUAGUGAUGACCUGUGAUAAGGAGUGAAAGGCUAAACAAACCUGGAAAUAGCUGGCUCUCCCCGAAAUGCCUUUAGGGACAGCCUCAUAUAAAGCUGCCGGAGGUAAAGCACUGGACGGGAAUGGGGGAGUCAAAUCCUACCUGACCCAAUCAAACUCUGAAUGCCGGCAGCCAGCGUAUGGGAGUGAGACUGCGGGCGCUAAGGUUCGUAGUCAAGAGGGAAACAGCCCGGACCAUCGGCUAAGGUCCCGAAAUUAUGCUAAGUGUUAAAUGAAGUGUGGAUGCACAGACAGCCAGGAGGUUGGCUUAGAAGCAGCCAUUCCUUAAAAGAGUGCGUAACAGCUCACUGGUCGAGCAUUCAUGCGCAGACAAUGUAACGGGGCUAAGCAUGAUACCGAAGCCAUGGACUCAUAUCAUGAGAUAUGAUUGGUAGGGGAGCAUUCCAUUAACUGAUGAAGGAAUACCCGCGAGGGGUUCUGGAGGAGAUGGAAGAGAGAAUGCAGGUAUAAGUAACGAAAAGACGGGUGGGAUUCCCGUCCGCCGGAAACAUAAGGGUUCCAGGGUAAAGGCAAUCUGCCCUGGGUAAGUCGGCCCCUAAGGCCAGGCCGAAAGGCGUAGCCGAUGGGAAAUCGGUUUAUAGUCCGAUACCUUCCGCAGUUUCGAGGACAGGACGCAUGAGGCGAAAUCCGGCCGGAGAACGGUUGUUCCGGUCAAAGCGCCGAGCUGAUGAGGGCCGCAGGCAAAUCCGCGGCCUGAGGCGAGGCGUUACAGCGAGCGGAGAGAAAGUCGAAGCGAAGCGGACGUAGUCAUGGUGCCGGGAAAUACUGUCUAAGGCUAGGCUGCGGGAGACCGUACCGUAAACGGACACACGUAUGUGGGAUGAGAAAUCUAAGGCGCACGAGCGACCUCGCGUUAAGGAACUCGGCAAAAUGCACACGUAACUUCGGAAGAAGUGUGGCUCUGAUUGUAUAAGAUUAAGAGCGGCAGAAAGCAGGCUCAGGCGACUGUUUAUCAAAAACACAGCCAUCUGCGAACCAGCAAUGGGACGUAUAGGUGGUGACUCCUGCCCGGUGCCGGAAGGUUAAGAGGAGCGGUUAGAGGCGACUCGAAGCUGUGAAUCGAAGCCCCGGUAAACGGCGGCCGUAACUAUAACGGUCCUAAGGUAGCGAAAUUCCUUGGCGGGUAAGUUCCGCCCCGCACGAAUGGAGUAACGAUUCUGAGCACUGUCUCAACGCGAGACUCGGUGAAAUUUAUAUGUCGGUAAAGAAGCCGACUACCCAUAAUUAGACGGAAAGACCCCGUGAACCUUCACCGUAACUUAACAUUGGGAUCUUAUUUAUCAUGUGUAGGAUAGCUGGGAGGCAGAGAAGCGUGGUCGUCAGGCUGCGCGGAGCCGGUGGUGAAAUACCAGUCCUGGUGAAUGAGAUUUCUAACCCGCUCCAUGAAGCUGGGGCGGGGACAAUGCUAGGCGCGCGGUUUGACUGGGGCGGUCGCCUCCUAAACUGUAACGGAGGUGCGCGAAGGUCUCCUCACCCUGGUUGGGAAUCAGGGCGCGAGUGUAAAGGCACAAGGAGGCUUGACUGCGAGAGAGACAUCUCGGGCAGGUGCGAAAGCAGGUCUUAAUGAUCUGAUGGUGCUGAGUGGAAAGGCCAUCACUUAACGGACAAAAGGUACUCCGGGGAUAACAGGCUGAUUUUCCCCAAGAGUUCACAUCGACGGGAAAGUUUGGCACCUCGAUGUCGGCUCAUCGCAUCCUGGGGCUGGAGCAGGUCCCAAGGGUUUGGCUGUUCGCCAAUUAAAGCGGUACGUGAGCUGGGUUCAGAACGUCGCGAGACAGUUCGGUCCCUAUCUGUUAUGGGCGCUGGAUGUUUGAGAGGGUCUGCUUUUAGUACGAGAGGACCGAAGUGGACCGACCUCUGGCUUAUCUGUUGUCCUGCCAAGGGCAAGCGCAGAGUAUCUAAGUCGGGAAGGGAUAACCGCUGAAAGCAUCUAAGCGGGAAGCCCGCCUCAAGAUUAGACAUCCCCGGGAGCAUGGCUCCCCUGAAGACCCCUGAGACACUAUCAGGUCGAUAGGAUGCAGGUGUAAGUGCCGCGAGACAUUGAGCCGAGCAUUACUAAUAGGUCGUGAGGCUUGACC
rnacentral:rRNA from 1 species